ensembl:lncRNA
CUUAUAGUUAUUUAAUUAAUUCCAGAUUUCUAAUUUAAUUAUUUUGUGGUCAGAGAACAUAUUCUGUAAGAUUUCAAUUAUUUUCAGUUUAUUAAAACUUAUCUUUUCAAGCAUAGACUUGGUCUGUCAUGGGUCCCAGUACCCUUGGAAGGAACGUGUUUCUGUACUUCUUGCAUGUGGUGUUCUUUAAAUGUCACUUAGGUCAAGCUGGUUGAUAAUUUUGCCAGGUCUUUUAUAUCCUUACUAAUUUUUCCUCUAGUUGUUCUAUCAGUUACUGAGGGAAAGGUGUUAAAAUCUCCAACUAUGACUAGGGGUUUGUCUCUUUUCCCUUUAGUUCUGUCAGUUUUGGCUUCAUGUUUUUGAAACCCUGUUAUUAGGAGCAUACACAUUUAUGAUUACGUAAUUGUUGUGUAUGCCCAAUGAAUUGGCCAUUUUAUUAUUAUAAAUGUUCUUCUUUUCUCUGCUUAUAUUCCUUGUCUUGAAGUCAAUUUUGUCUAGUAUUAUUUUAGCAAGCCCAGCUUUCUAAUGUGUGCUCCUUGCAUGGUAUAUCUUUUUCCAUUAUUUGAUCUUUAACCCCUCUGAUACUUUACACAAGGGUAACUCUUUCAAACAGCAUGUAGUUAGGUCUUGCUUUUUUAUCUAGUCUGACAAUCUCUGUUUUUAAUUGGAGUAUUUAGUACGUUUACAUUUAAUGUAAUUAUUGACAUGAUUGGAUUUAGGUCUACCAUUUUAUUUGUUUUCUAUUUGUCUCAUCUGAUAUUUCGGUUCUUUAUUACUCCUUUCCUGCCUUCUUUUGAUUUUUUCAAAAAAAAUUUAUAUUUCAUUUUAACUCCUCUACUGGCUUUUCAACUAUACCUCUUUUCCUUAUUUUUUAGUGGUUUCUCUAGGGAUUGAAAGAUGCAUACUUAACUUGUCACAGUAUUUACAGUUAAUAUAGUAUAAAUUUUUAAGUCCUGAAAUAUUAUAGUUAUAUUUACCUCUGUUUUUGUGCAAUUGAUCUCAUAUAACCACAUGUAUUACAAACCACAAAAAUAUAGUGACAUAAUUUUUGCUUUAAAUAAUCAUAUGUUAUGUGAAGAUAUUAAGAGAAGAAAAAAUAGUCUUUUAUAUUCAGCCACAUACUUAACAUUCCUGUUAAUAAUAAUAAUAAAUAGACUCUAUUUAUUCCUUUCUGUAGAUCUGCAUUUCCACUUGAUGUCACUUUCUUAAAGAAUUGCUAAAGACAGCUUUACUUUAUCUGAAAUUAUCUUAGUUUACUUUCAUUUUCUAAGGAUAUCUUGAUUGGAUUUUGAAUUCUGGGUUAGUAGGUGGUUUUUCCUGAGUACUUUAAAGGUGUUAUUCCAGAGACAGUGUCAAGAUGGCAGCAUAGGUGGACUCUGAACUCACCUUCUCCCAUGGACGCAACCAAUUUACAACUACUCUUGGAACAAUUACCCCUGAGAGAGAACCAAAAACUGAGUGUAAUGAAUCCCAACAACAAGGGACAGUGCUGACUGAGGUGGAAGAGGCAGAAAUUCCUUUCUGGAGAGAAAAAUGCCACCUUUGACCCACAGCACUUCACACCUGACUGGGAGCAAUCUUAAGUUUCACAGGGAAGCUGGCCUUUCAUCUGGAGCUUUACUGAAACUCUACUCAACCUAAGUCAAAGGGAUGGAAAGAAAAUUCCAAAACCAAUGAUGAAAGACAACCAUCACAGCAUUGUUUAAAUAUUUGAAAAAAGGGCAUGAAUGAAGAAUUAUUUUUAAAAAUAUGUGUUAUGAGCUGAAAUGUCCCGUUCCCCCUCAAAUUCAUAUGUUGCAGUCCUGAACCCCGCUGCCUCAGAAUGUGACUGUAUUUGGAGAUCGGGCCCUUAAAGAUGGUGGGCCCUAAUCCGUUUUCACAGACACACACAGAGGAAGAUUAUGUGAAGACACGGAGAAAAGAUGGCCAUCUACCAGCCAAGGAGAGAGACCUCAGAAGAAACCAACCCUGCUGGCACCUUGAUCUCAGACUUCUAGCCUCCAGACUUGUAAGAAAAUAAAUUUC